UACAGAGGUCUCAAGCGUUGUUCGGAUUCAUUGGGCGUAAAGGGUGCGUAGGCGGCCUAUUAAGUCAGGGGUGAAAGACGGUAGCUUAACUAUCGCAGUGCCUUUGAUACUGAUAGGCUUGAAUGUACUUGAGGUAGGCGGAAUGUGACAAGUAGCGGUGAAAUGCAUAGAUAUGUCACAGAACACCAAUUGCGAAGGCAGCUUACUAAAGUAUGAUUGACGCUGAGGCACGAAAGCGUGGGGAUCAAACAGG
rnacentral:rRNA from 1 species